rnacentral:rRNA from 1 species
AGUGAACGCUGGCGGUAGGCCUAACACAUGCAAGUCGAACGGCAGCACAGUAAUAGCUUGCUCUUACGGGUGGCGAGUGGCGGACGGGUGAGGAAUACAUCGGAAUCUACUUUUUCGUGGGGGAGAACGUAGGGAAACUUACGCUAAUACCGCAUACGACCUACGGGUGAAAGCAGGGGAUCUUCGGCCCUUGCGCGAUUGAAUGAGCCGAUGUCGGAUUAGCUAGUUGGCGGGGUAAAGGCCCACCAAGGCGACGAUCCGUAGCUGGUCUGAGAGGAUGAUCGGCCACACUGGAACUGAGACACGGUCCAGACUCCUACGGGAGGCAGCAGUGGGGAAUAUUGGACAAUGGGCGCAAGCCUGAUCCAGCCAUACCGCGUGGGUGAAGAAGGCCUUCGGGUUGUAAAGCCCUUUUGUUGGGAAAGAAAAGCAGCAGGUUAAUACCCCGCUGUUCUGACGGUACCCAAAGAAUAAGCACCGGCUAACUUCGUG